rnacentral:tRNA from 1 species
GCUGCAGUGGUGGAAUUGGUAGACACGCUAGCUUGAGGGGCUAGUGGUCGUUAGACCGUGGAAGUUCAAGUCUUCUCUGCAGCA